rnacentral:snRNA from 1 species
UCUCUGUCUCCGGUUCUAGCUGUCU